GCAAACACACAACAGCAUCUCGGCAGCACCUCCCUUCCCAUCACAUGUGUGUAACACGUCUGUGGCUGUCGUGUGCUGAGCUGAGGUCACACAGAGGCUGCGAUUGUGUCUGGUGCAAACACACAAACGACCUAAACAGACGGCCAGGAUUUGGUCACUGGGUGAGUAAACAAAGUCUGUACACCAGCUACUUUCCUCUCAGGAGGCAUCAGGGGCAGAGUUGGGGGCCCAGGUUAAUCCCACACAGUCUACCACCUCCGUCUUCCACAAGGUCAGGAGAUAACGGGGAACCUGGGAGGCGUCCCAGACACUGGACUUCCUGAUUCUUUAAUCCAGAAGGGUUUGCUAUGUUAACAACCUGGCUGAGCGAGCGAGGCAGACGGUCAUGCCGCAGCUUCACCUGGGCAACAUUUAAAGGCAGUAACUUUUAACAGGACAGACUUAAAUUUCUAAUGUAAAAGAAAUUUCACUUAGUGUAACAGAGGUAACACAAGUAAACAUAUCUUUCUCCAGCCUUUUUAGUUUGUCUUUAAGAAAAUACAGCAACUACGAAAACGCUUGUGAGUUGUUUCCAGUAAGUUUAACAAAAUCAUACAAUAACAUAAUAAGCAGAGGGGUAAUGAGUGGAGUUCCUUUCAUUGUGUGAAAGGAGGGGUUCAGAGCGCCCAGGGAGUGCUGAAGAGGGCCCGUGGCAGGGAAAUCAGAGUCUCUCUCCUCUGGAUCAGAGGACACGCCUCUCCUUACAGGUCAGGUCACAUUUUAAAGUUGAAGAGGCCUUUGUCAGUUACAUGCUUUCCCCCAAUACUUUAUUACAGUGACGCGACCUUAAGAAAAGUCAGCACAUUCCUGAGGACAAGUCGGGGUGCGCUUUACCACGCGGACACUGUUGCCCCUAACCCAAGACAGCAGGGGGGACCUGGUCCCCGGGGGGGGAGUGAUGCCAGGAUCCCGAGCCGACCUCCGCCAGGGGAACGCCGGUCAGUGCCUGCAGGUCAGAUCAGUGCUGUAACCCUGUAACGAACAGGGUGUCUCUCCCAAAUCUGCCAGCUUCGGGAUGCUGGCGUGGGUAGGCGCACAUCCACGCACGGCGGAGCGCGGGCUGCAGCCCCGGGCAGUUUUCAGGGUCCUCACCUGUGCGCUUCACCUCUAGGCACCUGCGCGCGGGGCCUCCAUGUCCCCCUCCUUGGAGACCGAACUGCAUUCCAUUCAAAUCCCAAAGGACGUCCCCUCCAUCCAUCAGACACCCCCGUCCCACUAACACACAGUCGCUGCCGAAGGAGCAGCGCCUGUGGCCCGCACACCUCGCAG
rnacentral:lncRNA from 1 species